rnacentral:lncRNA from 10 species
CUCACGAGAGCUGAUGGCUUUAUAUAUGGGAGUUUGCCUGCACAAGCUCUUUUGCCUGCGGCCACCUAAGACGUAACUUUGCUCCUUAUUCGCUUUCCGCCAUGAUUGUGAGGCCUCCCCCACCAUGUGGAACUGGCAUUCCAUGGUCCAAACCACCAUUUUAUAAAAGACAACAUGAAAACCAGAAGCAGGGCACUGGCUGCCAAUUUGACGUAAGAUAACUGGAAGGAAAAUGCUGAUGACUUAAAGUAUGUGAAAUUUUGGCAAGGCUGCCAAGACCAUUCAACAAAAAGGACAAUCGUUUCAGUAAAUGAUGUUGGAAAAAUACCCACGUACAAAAAAAUAAAGUUGGAGCCUUGCUUUAUACCAUGCACAAAAUUAACUCAAAAUGAAUCAAAGACCUAAACAUAAUACUUAAAAUUAUAAAACUCUCAGAAGAAAACACAGGGAAAAAGUUUCAUGAUAUUGGAUUUGGCAAUGACUUUGUGAAUAUGAUACUAAAAACACAGAUAUCAGAAGAAAUAGAUAAAUUAGACUUGAUCAAAAUUAAAAACUUUUAGGAAUCAAUGGACACUCAAUAGAAUAAAAAGACAACACGUGGAACUGGGGGAAAUAUUUACAAAUCUACAUUUGAUCAGGAGUUGAUAUACAGAUUAUAUAAAGAACUUUUAUAACUCAGCAACAAAGAACCAAUUUAAUUAAGAAAUGAGGAGAAACAGGACAAAAAUGUCCAUUCUCAUAACUUCUUCUCAACAUAGUACUUGAAAUCAUGGCCAGAGCAGUUAGGCAAGGGAAAGAAUCAGAAGGUAUCCAAAUUGGAAAAGAGGAAGUUAAAUUGUCCCUGUUUGCAGAUGAUAUGACUUUAUAUAUAGAAAACUCUAAAAAUUCCACCAAUAAAACUCUCAGAACUGAUAAACAAAUUCAAUGAAGUUGUAGGAUACAAAAUCAACAUACAAAAAUCAGUAGUAUUUCUAUGCUAGGCUUGAUGGCUCAUGCCUGUAAUCCCAGCACUUUGGGAGGCUGAGGUGGGUGGAUCACAUGAGGUCAGGAGUUUGAGACUAGCCUGGCCAACAUGGCCAAACCCCAUCUCUACUAAAAAUACAAAAAUUAGCCCGGCAUGGUGGUGCGUGUCUGUAAUCCCAGCUACUCAGGAAGCUGAAGCAUGAGAAUCACUUGAACCCAGUAUGUGGAGGCUGAAGUGAGCUGAGAGCGCACCAGUGCUCUCCAGCCUGGGUGACAGAGCAAGACUGUCUCAAAAAAAAAAAAAGGCUGGGAAAAUUGGAUAUUCACAUGCAGAAGAAUGAAACUGAACCCCUAUCUUUCACCAUAUAUAAAAAUCAACUAAAAAUGAUUUAAAGACUUCAGUAUAAGACCUGAAACUAUAAAGCUACCAGAAGAAAACAGGGAAGACACUUCAUCAGCCUGGGCAAUAUGGCAAACCCCAUCUCUACAAAAAAUACAAAAAUUAGCCAUGUGGGGUGGUGCAUGCCUGUCAUCCUAGCUACUUAGGGAGUUGCGGUGGGAAGAUCUCUUGAGUCCAGAAGGCAGAGGUUGCAGUGAGCCAAGAUCACGGCAUUGCACUCCAGCCUGGGUGACAAAGGGAGACCCUGUCUCAAAAGAACAAAAGCAAAACAAAACAAAACAGAAACACUUCAUGACAUGAGAUUAGGCAAGAAUCUUUUGAAUAGGACCUUAAAACAUAAACAACAAAUACAAAGAUAAAGACAUGGGGUUACAUCAAAUUACAAAGGUUCUGCCUGGUGAAGGAAACAACAGAGUGAAAAGACAACCUGUAGAAUGGGAGAAAAUAUUUGCAAACUAUGCAUCUGACAUGGGGUUAAUAUCCAGAAUAUAUAAGGAACUCAAGCAACUCAGCAGCAAAAAACAAACAAUUCAACUACAAAAUGGGCAAAAGACCAUGUUGAUUCAGCAUUAUUUACAGUAGCCCAGAUAUGGGCUUAACUUAGGUGUCUAACAAUGGAUGAAUGGAUAAAAUGAUAAAUUGAUAAAAUAAAUGUAUAGUUAUGCACUGCAUUACAGCAUUUCAGUUAAUGACUGACCAGAAAUGUGACGGUGGUCCAAAAAGAUUACAAGGCAGCUGAAAAAUUCCUAUCACAGUGACAUUGUAGCUGUCAUAACAGUGUAACACAAUUACUUUAUUUUUAUUUUUUUUAUUAUACUUUAAGUUUUAGGGUACAUGUGCACAACGUGCAGGUUUGUUACAUAUGUAUACAUGUGCCAUGUUGGUGUGCUGCACCCAUUAACUGAUCAUUUACAUUAGGUAUAUCUCCUAAUGCUAUCCCUCCCCCCUCCCCCCACCCCACAACAGGUCCUGGUGUGUGACGUUCCCCUUCCUGUGUCCAAGUGUUCUCAUUGUUCAGUACCCACCUAUGAGUGAGAACAUGUGGUGUUUGGUUUUUUUUGUCCUUGCGAUAGUUUGCUGAGAAUGAUGGUUUCCAGCUUCAUCCGUGUCCCUACAAAGACAUGAACUCAUCAUUUUUUAUGGCUGCAUAGUAUUCCAUGGUGUAUAUGUGCCACAUUUUCUUAAUCCAGUCUAUCGUUGUUGGACAUUUGGUUUGUUCCAAGUCUUUGCUAUUGUGAAUAGUGCCGCAAUAAACAUACGUGUGCAUGUGUCUUUAUAGCAGCAUGAUUUAUAAUCCUUUGGGUAUAUACCCAGUAAUAGGAUGGCUGGGUCAAAUGGUAUUUCUAGUUCUAGAUCCCUGA